rnacentral:rRNA from 1 species
UCCGAGUUGUAAUUUGUAGAGGAUGUUUUGGGUACCGCCCCGGUUUAAAUUUCUUGGAACAGAAUGUCAGAGAGGGUGAGAAUCCCGUCUUGGACCGGUGGUAGGGCCUGUGUGAAACUCCUUCGACGAGUCGAGUUGUUUGGGAAUGCAGCUCAAAAUGGGUGGUAAAUUUCAUCUAAAGCUAAAUAUUGGCCAGAGACCGAUAGCGCACAAGUAGAGUGAUCGAAAGAUGAAAAGAACUUUGAAAAGAGAGUUAAACAGUAUGUGAAAUUGUUGAAAGGGAAGCGCUUGCAACCAGACUUGAGCGCGACGGUUCCCCUAGCCUUUUGGCUAGGUUACUCCGUCGUGUCCAGGCCAACAUCGGUUCUGAGGGUCGGUCAAAGGCCCCGGGAAUGUACCUACCCACGGGUAGACUUAUAGACCGGGGUGUCAUGCGGCCUCUCGGGACCGAGGAACGCGCUUCGGCUCGGAUGUUGGCGUAAUGGUUGUCAGCGACCCGUCUUGAAACACGGACCAAGGAGUCUAACAUCUAUGCGAGUGUUUGGGUGUCAAACCCGGAACGCGGAAUGAAAGUGAACGGAGGUAGGAAGCUUCGGCUGCACUAUCGACCGAUCCUGAAGUUUACGGAUGGAUUUGAGUAAGAGCAUAGCUGUUGGGACCCGAAAGAUGGUGAACUAUGCCUGAAUAGGGUGAAGCCAGAGGAAACUCUGGUGGAGGCUCGCAGCGGUUCUGACGUGCAAAUCGAUCGUCAAAUUUGGGUAUAGGG